GCGGCUUUCUUCUUCUUCUUGUUCGGCAACCCGUUACAAAUCCCUAAGAGGUUGGUUUAUAUUGACAGUUGCAGACGGAGGUUGGUUUAAAUGAAUAAAUUAUUGGUUGUAACUCAACAAAUUCCAAGGGAAGAUGGGUAGUAUUUGUUGUAGUAGCAUGUUUGAAAGUUAGAUAAAAGUUGUGCUUCAUCUUAAAAUGAUGUACGCCACGGCAAUGUCGGUUUAAGUAGCAAAAUCUGCACAAAUAUAGAGUUUGAAUAAACAACACAAUAAAAACAAAAAUUGUUGUGAUUAUUGGUUAUUAACAUAUUUUAUAGUGGUUAUGGAAGAGAGAAAAAUAGAAGAACUAAAAGGGGAGAGAUGGGAAAUACCUGAAAGUUGGAAUAAAUUAUUGGCUGUAAUGAAACAAAUU
rnacentral:lncRNA from 1 species